CUCAGCAGACAGUCAGCCUGGAAACCCACCUCGACUCAGAAUCUGUGGAACAGGAAACUGACUCCAAGAGGAGAAAAUACAUUGUCAAAGAAUAAAUGAACUAUGUGGAAAGCAAAUGCCUUCUUCUAACCUCUCCAGGUAUGCUCCAAGUCUAAUCCUGGUAUUGCGGCCCUUAUCACCCAUGUGGGACACACAGAUGGAGCUUCUGGUUCCUGGCUCUGGCCUGGCCCAGCUUCAGCCAUUGCAGCCUUUUG